AGCCUAGUGGCUGAGUUGGUUACAGCGUGGCUGCAUUGAAGUCAAGGGCCAGUCGCCGUGAGUUCGAACCUCGCCGUGGCAG